AAGUCGUAACAAGGUUUCCGUAGGUGAACCUGCGGAAGGAUCAUUAGCGAAUUGAGCGGGCGCCCUCUGCGGCCCCGACCUCUUCCUACUCUUCACCCUGUGCAUCGUGACCCUUUUUGCGCUUUUGCAACCCGAGUCCCGGAACACAAAUAUAAAAAGGCACAAAAUGAAGCAACGGAUCUCUUGGCUCUC
rnacentral:misc_RNA from 1 species